rnacentral:rRNA from 1 species
AUUGAACGCUGGCGGCAUGCUUUACACAUGCAAGUCGAACGGUAACAGGUUAAGCUGACGAGUGGCGAACGGGUGAGUAAUGCAUCGGAACGUGCCCGGUCGUGGGGGAUAACGCAGCGAAAGCUGCGCUAAUACCGCAUACGAUCUAAGGAUGAAAGCGGGGGACCGUAAGGCCUCGCGCGAUCGGAGCGGCCGAUGUCAGAUUAGGUAGUUGGUGGGGUAAAGGCUCACCAAGCCAACGAUCUGUAGCUGGUCUGAGAGGACGACCAGCCACACUGGGACUGGGACACGGCCCAGACUCCUACGGGAGGCAGCAGUGGGGAAUUUUGGACAAUGGGCGAAAGCCUGGUCCAGCAAUGCCGCGUGCAGGAAGAAGGCCUUCGGGUUGUAAACUGCUUUUGUACGGAGCGAAAAGGUCUCCUCUAAUACAGGGGGCUCAUGACGGUACCGUAAGAAUAAGCACCGGCUAACUACGUGCCAGCCGCCGCCGUAA